rnacentral:rRNA from 1 species
UACGGGAGGCAGCAGUGGGGAAUAUUGCACAAUGGGGGAAACCCUGAUGCAGCGACGCCGCGUGAAGGAAGAAGUAUUUCGGUAUGUAAACUUCUAUCAGCAGGGAAGAAAAUGACGGUACAUGACUAA